rnacentral:rRNA from 1 species
GUACACGCUGUGACUAGCAUAUCAAUAAGCGGAGGAAAAGAAACUAACAAGGAUUCCCCUAGUAACGGCGAGUGAAGCGGGAAGAGCUCAAAUUUGAAAUCUUAAAGGGUUUCCCUUUACGAAUUGUAGUUUAAAGAAGUGUUUUCUGUUGAGGUUUUGGUAAAAGUUCUUUGGAAUAGGACAUCAUAGGGGGUGAGAAUCCCGUAUUUGACCUUUACUUUCAACUUUGUGAUACACUUUCAAAGAGUCGGAUUGUUUGGGAAUGCAGUCCAAAAUGGGUGGCAAAUUUCAUCUAAAGCUAAAUAUUGGCGAGAGACCGAUAGCGAACAAGUACCGUGAGGGAAAGAUGAAAAGAACUUUGAAAAGAGAGUUAAACAGUACGUGAAAUUGUCAAAAGGGAAGCGUUUGACACCAGUGUUGUUUUUCUGAAAAUCAAUUAAAGAACUGUUUAUGCUAAGCUGUUUAGACUUUAUCAGCUAUCUGUUUAGUUUUAGGCUUUUCUUUAAUGCACUUUUCAGUUAACAAGUCAACAUCCAAUUUCUUUUGCUGUAAAAAAGCUUGAGGAAGGUGGCUUGAGAUUCGUCUUAAGUGUUUAUAGCCUCUUGCCUAUGCAGUCGGAGAGAUUGAGGUCUGCAGCGUAGAUCCUUCGGGGCUAAAUGCAUUUGUGCUAAGUUAUAGCAUUUCAUAGACAACUUGUUGACUAUGAUUUGUCUUGUAGCUUACUCGCUUAUGUUAUUUUACCUACGCUUAGGAUGUUAGUCGUAGAGCACGCAG